GCGGUAAUUCCAGCUCUCAAACUGAAUAGGACUAUUGCUGCGGUUAAAAAGCUCGUAGUUGGAUUUGUGUCAGGGCCCCGGUUUGUGCUUCGGUGCAUUACUGGGUGUACUCGGACUUAUGGUCGGUUCUCUCGCAUUGGGCUUAAACGCUCGGUGUGGGUGACUGGCGCUUUUACUUUGAACAAAUCAGAGUGCUCAAGACAGGCGUAUGCCUGAAUGUUCGCGCAUGGAAUAAUGGAAGAGGAUUUCGGUUCGCUUUUCAUUGGUUUUACGACCGAGAUAAUGGUUAAUAGAGACAGACGGGGGCAUCUGUAUUUCUGCGUGAGAGGUGAAAUUUUUGGACCGCAGAAGGACAAACUACAGCGAAAGCAUUUGCCAAGAAUGUCUUCAUUAAUCAAGAACGAAAGUCAGAGGAUCGAAGGCGAUUAGAUACCGCCCUAGUUCUGACCGUAAACGAUGCCAACUAGCGAUCUGUCGGCGGCGGCCGCAAGGCAAUGCCUCGAUAGGGAGCUUCCCGGAAACGAAAGUCUUCCGGUUCCGGGGGAAGUAUGGUUGCAAAGCUGAAACUUAAAGGAAUUGACGGAAGGGCACCACCAGGAGUGGAGCCUGCGGCUUAAUUUGACUCAACACGGGAAACCUCACCCGGGCACGACACCGUGGGGAUUGACAAACUGAAGCUUUUUCAUGAUUCGGUGGUUGGUGGUGCAUGGCCGUUCUUAGUUCGUGGAGUGAUCUGUCUGGUUUAUUCCGAUAACGAGCGAGACUCUAGUCUGCUAAAUAGUUGGCGCACAAAAUGUGACGCGACUUCUUAGAGGGAUGUCCGGUUCUCAGCCGGAAGAAACGGAGCAAUAACAGGUCUGUGAUGCCCUUAGAUGUCCGGGGCUGCACGCGCGCUACACUGGCAAAAUCAGCGUGU
rnacentral:rRNA from 1 species